rnacentral:rRNA from 1 species
AACGCGAAGAACCUUACCUGGGCUCGAAAUGUAGAGUGCGACAACAGAGAUGUUGUUUCUCGAAAGAGGCUCUAUAUAGGUGCUGCAUGGCUGUCGUCAGCUCGUGUCGUGAGAUGUUGGGUUAAGUCCCGCAACGAGCGCAACCCUUAUCGUUAGUUGCCAGCGGGUCAAGCCGGGCACUCUAGCGAAACCGCCCCGGAUAACGGGGAGGAAGGUGGGGAUGACGUCAAGUCCUCAUGGCCUUUAUGUCCAGGGCUACACACGUGCUACAAUGGUCGGUACAAACCGUCGCAAACCUGCGAAGGGGAGCUAAUCGGAAAAAGCCGGCCUCAGUUCGGAUUGGAGUCUGCAACUCGACUCCAUGAAGCUGGAAUCGCUAGUAAUCGCGGAUCAGCACGCCGCGGUGAAUACGUUCCCGGGCCUUGUACACACCGGUAUCUC